rnacentral:lncRNA from 1 species
GUCCCAGACCCGGCCCAUUUACAACCUUACUAGUACCUACAUGAUGUAACCUCUAACUUUUCAGAAAAUUAUACCUUAUUUACAUAUUUUCUUCCAUAAUUUUUCUUUUCUACUUUCCACACCGCGCUGCUGGAACCAUUUCACGUAGUCGUUUUUAUUUUCAUGGUCGCCGGACCUGCGUUUCUAUUCUCUACUCUCCUCACAUGUAUAUCACCUAAUCGUUUUUUAUGUCACGGUCGCCGGAGCUGCUGAACCCAUCGUGUUUUCUAUUCUCUACUUUCCAAACAUUCAUCUCACAUAAUCGUUUACUAUUUC